rnacentral:rRNA from 1 species
AGCUUCCUACGGGAGGCAGCAGUGAGGAAUAUUGGUCAAUGGGCGCGAGCCUGAACCAGCCACGUCGCGUGAGGGAAGACGGUCCUAAGGAUUGUAAACCUCUUUUGUCGGGGAGCAAAAGACGCCACGCGUGGCGUUCCGAGAGUACCCGAAGAAAAAGCAUCGGCUAACUCCGUGCCAGCAGCCGCGGCAAUACGGAGGGUGCGAGCGUUAUCCGGAUUUAUUGGGUUUAAAGGGUGCGCAGGCGGAAGAUCAAGUCAGCGGUAAAAUUGAGAGGCUCAACCU